rnacentral:antisense_RNA from 1 species
GGGUGCCUGGACAUGUCUGUUCCGGGCAGUCCGGCACAGACAAAGAAAAGGCCCCACUUAACGUUAAUCAAGUGAGGCCGAUCUGUAUGACUCGCAACAUCAGGUUAGCCUCUUACCCGCCGCAAGGCAAGGAAUUGGAGGCCAGUA